ensembl:lncRNA
CCCAGUUUAAUAUAUAUAUAAAUAAAUAAAAAGCUUUGAUCUUUUAAAGGCAACUCAGCAGUAUGUGAAGAUGAGCCGAUGGAUAUUCAGAGGAAAUUUGACACUGUUCCACUAUAAUUCAGCGCGUCAUGCUUGCGUAAUGAGCUGGAGGAACUGAGCUACGUGCACAGGAACUGCAAAGUUCCCGAUUCUGGACGCGAUCAUGCAGCUGCUGCUUUCACUUUUCAUUCGCCUUUUAACUCAAAAUACGGACCAAAACUCAACAAUAACAGAGCGACAAGAUGCAAGGCGCAAAACCAGAGGCCAGACAAGGACAGAGUCGCCUCUUUGGCUGAUAGCUGUGGAUCAGUCGAGCCGAUGGCCUUUAAUGGUGCCCACAUCUCCUCCUCCUGUGACCCAAAAGCACUAACGAUUUAAAUAUAGGAUCGACCUACAGCUCACGUGUGUCUCAGAUGUUGCGCUUUCAUUUUUCAUACUGUUAUUGCACAGUCUUGACUACAUAUUAUAUAGGAAUGAAGCCCAUAUUUCCCCUAGGGAUCAUCUUCCAGCUGUAAAUAUGCUAGCUAGGGGAUGCUCGUAAAAGCCUCAAUUCUAACAUGUUAUAUAACUGUGUAUUAAUGAUAUCGUGGUUGUGUGAUUGCGCUCUAACUCCCUCACGCUCUGUCGGUGUAUAACAGUCACAUUAAUGAGACACCACUGCAGCGUUAAAUGCAUUUGGUUUUGCAGUGGAGACGUUUACACGGUUCCAGUUGUUGAGUGAGUCACCCUGUCCCCUCUCAGGGUCCCGCAAGUCCUCACCCGGCUCUCCGAAUUCACCAAAGACCCAAGCCUGCGACGCAAAUCCUGUCCCUCCUGGAGCCAACAUCCUUCCGCUCCAUGCAGCGGAAAUCGCUCCGGCGUGACCUGCCACUCGCAGCCACUCGCACUUCCUGAAUGUUUCCUGGAAAACUGGUCAGGCUCUGUCCCCUGAGUUCAGCACAGGACAUUCUGUUUUGCUGCUUUUUAAUCUAGCGACUCAUAACCUGUCGGUUGGAGGCCAGCGGUAAAGCGUUCAGGCCAGCGUAAACGCCGGCGCUAAUGCGAACUGCUGGUUCUAACCUGGGGCUGAAUGAACAAUGGAGUUCAUGCCUGAAGUGGGCAAAAUGUAGUCUGGAAGAAGAGCUGGGCUGCCUGGGAUGUAGGAAGUUGAUUGGAGUGCACCAUCAUCUAUCUUUUUCUCUGCAAUUGGAGGGUUUUUUUUUUUUUGGUUUAAAAUGAAAUUAUGGAUUCAUUCCUCUUCAAUAAAUAAUACAUUCUAGAGAACAUGAGAGCUCUUGUGUCUUGAUUGUGCCACAGAGGAGAUGAUGGCGCUCCUAUAGCAGAGGCAUCCAUCAUCAUAAUGA